AGAGUUUGAUUCUGGCUCAGGAUGAACGCUGGCGGCGUGCCUAAUACAUGCAAGUCGAACGAGGUGGAUGGGAGCUUGCUCCUUGAUACCGAGUGGCGAACGGGUGAGUAACACGUAGGUAACCUGCCCUUAAGCUUGGGAUACCCAGAGGAAACUUUGGCUAAUACCGGAUAACAACAGAGGAGGCAUCUCCUUUGCUUGAAAGGCCCUUUACAGGGUCACUUAAGGAUGGACCUGCGGCGCAUUAGCUAGUUGGUGAGAUAAAAGCCCACCAAGGCGAGGAUGCGUAGCCGACCUGAGAGGGUGAUCGGCCACAUUGGAACUGAGACACGGUCCAAACUCCUACGGGAGGCAGCAGUAAGGAGUUUUCGGCAAUGGGGGAAACCCUGACCGAGCAACGCCGCCGUGAGUGAUGACGGCCCUAUGGGUUGUAAAGCUCUGUUGUAAGGGACGAACGAUCGUUUAGGAAAUGAAACGGUUCUGACGGUACCUUACCAGAAAGCCACGGCUAACUACGUGCCAGCCGCGGC
rnacentral:rRNA from 1 species